rnacentral:rRNA from 1 species
UACGAAGGGGGCUAGCGUUGUUCGGAAUUACUGGGCGUAAAGCGCGCGCGGGCGGCUAUCCAAGUCAGUGGUGAAAGCCCGGAGCUCAACUCCGGAACUGCCAUUGAAACUGUUUAGCUUGAGGAUGAGAGAGGUGAGUGGAAUUCCCAGUGUAGAGGUGAAAUUCGUAGAUAUUGGGAAGAACACCGGUGGCGAAGGCGGCUCACUGGCUCAUUACUGACGCUCAGGCGCGAUAGCGUGGGGAUCAAACAGG